GCGACCCCAGGACGGGCGAGGCCACCCGCCGAGUUUAAGCAUAUCAAUAAGCGGAGGAGAAGAAA
rnacentral:rRNA from 1 species